rnacentral:rRNA from 4 species
CAUGGCUGUCGUCAGCUCGUGUCGUGAGAUGUUGGGUUAAGUCCCGCAACGAGCGCAACCCUUGUCAUUAGUUGCUACGAAAGGGCACUCUAAUGAGACUGCCGGUGACAAACCGGAGGAAGGUGGGGAUGACGUCAAGUCCUCAUGGCCCUUAUAGGUGGGGCUACACACGUCAUACAAUGGCUGGUACAAAGGGUUGCCAACCCGCGAGGGGGAGCCAAUCCCAUAAAGCCAGUCGUAGUCCGGAUCGCAGUCUGCAACUCGACUGCGUGAAGUCGGAAUCGCUAGUAAUCGUGGAUCA